rnacentral:rRNA from 1 species
UACGGGGGGAGCAAGCGUUGUUCGGAUUUACUGGGCGUAAAGGGCGCGUAGGCGGCCACCGCAAGUCGACUGUGAAAUCUCCGGGCUUAACCCGGAAAGGUCAGCCGAUACUGCGGGGCUAGAGUGCAGAAGGGGCAACUGGAAUUCUCGGUGUAGCGGUGAAAUGCGUAGAUAUCGAGAGGAACACCUGCGGCGAAGGCGGGUUGCUGGGCUGACACUGACGCUGAAGUGCGAAAGCUAGGGGAGCAAACGGG